UCUAAGUGCAAUCAUGAGUUUUCGUGUCCAACUUUGAUCGUCCAUCUUAUUUGAAAAUUUUUUAUAAUUAGUAUUUUUAUGAGAUGAUAAAAACAUGAAUAUUACUUUUCUCGUGACUUAUGUUUUUAAUUUUUUUUAAAAAAAAUUUAAAUAAGACGGACGAUCAAAUUUGGACGCGGAAAACCAUGGCUGCGGUUAAA
rfam:Oryza glaberrima chromosome 3 Oglab03_0159_1, whole genome shotgun sequence.